rnacentral:rRNA from 1 species
CGUAGGGUGCAAGCGUUAAUCGGAAUUACUGGGCGUAAAGCGUGCGCAGGCGGCUUUGCAAGACAGAUGUGAAAUCCCCGGGCUUAACCUGGGAACUGCAUUUGUGACUGCAUGGCUAGAGUGCGGCAGAGGGGGAUGGAAUUCCGCGUGUAGCAGUGAAAUGCGUAGAUAUGCGGAGGAACACCGAUGGCGAAGGCAAUCCCCUGGGCCUGCACUGACGCUCAUGCACGAAAGCGUGGGAGCAAACAGGAUU